AAGCGUAAGAAAGUUCAUAAGCAUAAAGAAACACAUCUGAAGCAGGAUACUUUAAAAUGAGGUCCACCUCCCUUUCCAGAGGAGUUGUAACACAUCUGCAUCACAAACUUUAAUGAUAGAUUUCCUGCAUGUCUAGAGAAAAAGCUCUUGUUCAAUUUCUGGCAUUCAAUAUUGCUGGGGAAUCCUUUUGCUUAAUUGGUGUUUAUGCUAUUUUCCUUGCAAGGAACAUGCCAUCACAGAGUCCUGAUCACGGGAAUCAAGAGCCAGCGUGGCCUUGUACUUUCAAGUUUAAAGUCCUAACUCCUGAAGUGUGGAAAGAAGAAGGAUCUGUCCUUGCCUUGGAAGGUUAGAAGAACAAUUCCCCAUCCACCUCAGCUUACAAAAGCUUCGAAAAGUCUGCUCUGGCUGUGCAACUACAGUCUGCCUGGCAUCCUUACAGCAUCAUCUCUCAGACCUAUGUCAGUGUUAGCAUCCCAGACUUCAGCUUUAGUUUUUAAAGGAUCUUUCUGACCUUAAUGAUGAAAAAGAACAACUUGAGAACAUGACCAAAGAACACUGUAAAAUCCUAAAACUGGGCAGCAAAUAUGAAUUCAAAAUGUGCAUUUGUGGAAAACCUCAAGUCACAGGCAAGCCAAUCUAAAAAGUAAAAUAAUAAAUCAUUAUUUCUGCU